rnacentral:rRNA from 1 species
GCCAGCAGCCAUAUCACCCUGCAGCUCUCAACCGGCAGCCCGCUGAAGUUAAGCAGGGCUGAGCCUGGUCAGUACCUGGAUGGGAGACCUCCUGGGAAAGUGGAGGUUUCCCACC